UACGGGGGGGGCAAGCGUUGUUCGGAAUUACUGGGCGUAAAGGGCUCGUAGGCGGCCAACUAAGUCAAACGUGAAAUCCCUCGGCUUAACCGGGGGAACUGCGCUUGAUACUGGAUGGCUUGAGAUUGGGAGAGGGAUGCGGAAUUCCAGGUGUAGCGGUGAAAUGCGUAGAUAUCUGGAGGAACACCGGUGGCGAAGGCGGCAUUCUGGACCGACAUUGACGCUGAGGAGCGAAAGCCAGGGGAGCAAAGCGGG
rnacentral:rRNA from 1 species